GUCUUCAAUGAUGAUAUAGUGAUUUACCUUGGGACACCUAUGAAAUAUUGUGAUUAGUGUGAAUUUUAUUUAUAACUGAUAAAU